AACGCACAUUGCGCUCCUGGGUAUUCCCGGGAGCAUGCCCGUUUGAGAAUCAGUAAAAACAUCAGAGUCCUAACUCAUCCCCUCGGGGAUGGGUGAACGAGUCUGGAUUUGGGUCUUACUUGUCCGCAAACAAAGGUCGGGGGGAGUGGCAUGGAGGUGGAUUUCCAUGUCAUGCGGCCUUGCGGUUACAAUGACCUUAAAUGCAAUGUCCACGGUUCCCUCAUCAGUAGGAGCCUUGGCCCGAGUGCUGGAAAUGGUCUCACGACUGUCUUUUGGUUCAUUCGUGGCUGGCUUUGAGGAUGGCGGUAAUUGCUGUGUGAACUGAAAGUGCACAGGUGUUUGCUUUCCGGAAACGGCGAGUACCCUGUUAACUUGGUCUCAAAUCGGGUAGGAGAACCCGCUGAACUUAA
rnacentral:misc_RNA from 1 species